rnacentral:ncRNA from 1 species
CCUGCACGGAGCGUGAUCGCUCCGCUCAGGCUGGAAUGUGGUCGGGCGACCGACUGAACCACUCG